AUGAGUAACACCACCCUAUCUAUCUGUUCGUGGAAUGUAAGAGGACUUGGUGACGUCUCAAAAUGUGCUGAUAUACUCUCCGAACUUAUCAGCAUUAGCCCCCACUGCGCCCUUCUACAGGAAUCAAAACUAAAUGAAAUUACUGAACAAAAAUCCUCCUUCUUACCUCGCUCUCUCGACCAAAAAGUGUUUCUACCAGCAGAUGGCUCGGCUGGUGGAACAGUUUCAGCUUUUAACUCAAACUACCUCAUAGUACUCUCUCACACACACCAUAACUUUGCCACAUCGAUCAAAAUCACGUCCCUUGCACACCCACAACCCUUCAUCAUCACUAACGUCUAUGCUCCCGCAAGCCGCAACCUCAAACAAGCAUUUCUCGAUGAGCUCAGGCUGAUCAAACAAGAUGAUCACACGCCUUGGUUAAUAGUUGGAGACUUCAACCUUGUACGGUUUUCCCACGAAAAAAAUAACCGAAACUUCCACCAACGAGAAGCAGAUGCUUUUAACAACAUGAUCAAUGAGCUAGCCCUACUCGAACUCCCACUGCUGGACAGACGCUUCACUUGGUCCAACAAACGCCCCGCGCCAACCUUAGAACGACUAGACCGAGCUUUCUUUAAUCUGCUGUGGAAUAAUUGCUUCCCUAACACAACCUUAUCCUCACUGGCACGUAUCACAUCCGAUCAC
rnacentral:rRNA from 1 species